CAGAGACACACGAUACUUCAACCCAAAAGAAAACGCCCUCUAAUAAGUAUAAUAUAAUAAUUGCACCAUCAAAGCAGAGAGCGCGCAACUGCACACAGACCAUAUAGAGAUGAAUAAUUAAUUAAGAUCACAGCGAACGCUCUCUAGUCUCUGGUUAUGCGGCAUGAAUCAUAACAACUCAGAGAAGCAGCAUCGCAACGGAGGCGGCGGCGAGCGUGAAGACGCCGCCGAAUCCGAUAACGGAGGAGGACGCAGCGCUUUCCGGCGCCGGCGCCGGCGCCGGCACGAGGUCCGGGAUGAUGACGCUGUAAUUCGGAGCUGGGGCCUCAGCCACGUGGCAAGCAGCCAUUGGUGGGCCCACCACGAGAAGGGCCAACACCAACACUACGGCCACCAUGAAAGGCUUCGACG
rnacentral:lncRNA from 1 species